GAUGGGCCCUCCCCCAUCAAACACUAAUUUGAAAACUGCCCUACAAGCUUGUCUACACUUACGGAGGAGGCAUUUUCUCCACUGAGGCUCCCUCCUCUCCAAUGACCCUAGCUUGUAGCAAGUUGACACAAAACUAGCCCAGCACACCUCCCUAGCUUCAGCUGUCAUCUUGACACAAGCUAGAGUCGCCUGGAGAGGGCAAACUGGUAGGGCAUCGUCUUGAUCGGUGACUGACACAGGAUAGCCUAGACUACUGUGAGUUGCGCCAUCCCUAGGCAGGUGGGUCUGGGCUCUGUAAGAAAACCUGCAGAGCAUAGACGUGGGAGUGAGCCAGAAAGCAGCACUCCUCCGUGGUUUCAAGUUCCUGCCUUGAGUGCCUGCCCAGACUUCCUUCACUGAUGGAUUGCAACCUGGAAAUGUAAGCCACAUAAACCCUCUCCUCCUCCUCGAGUUGUUUUCGGUCAGAGUGUCUUAUCACAGCAACAGGGUGAACGCAGAACAGUCUAAAAACCCUUUCUGCGAGGGAACAGGUGACAAUGGACUUCCUGGUACCCGAGCAUGAGUGCAGGUUGGGGACAGGCUCGGGCCAGACAGACCACAGGACCAAGUAAUCACCUCUCUUUUCCGCUGAGGUAAACACGUGGAGCCAGCGGCCGGCAUUGUGUAGACUGUAGAACCCCCUCAGAAAAACGGCACCACAACCAGUCACUUGAAGAUGUCUGCUCUUAAGGACUCAGGAUUUGGAAGUAAGACCCGUCAGCAAACAGAUAGGGGAGCAGGCACAUAGAGAACAGCAUCGACAUGAAAACACGCCAAAAGAAAAUGGAAAGCCACCCUCUCCCAUCUCCUCUUUCUGUGCACCCUUCAAGUUGGUCUGCACACAGCCAGUGACUGGCAGCCCGUAAGAGAAGAAAGCCACCACCUACUACAUUUACCACUGGUUUUCAGGCUUCAGGAAUUCAGGUCCUGCACAUCAGCUGGCCGGGACACCCAUUACUAUCCGGAGAUGAUGAGUAUUUUUCUACCACGGUCUAGAACUCUGGCCAAAACUGGAUUCCACCAGUGGUGCCUUCCUGCAUACUCAGUUACGUCAAUAUUUCAUAAGAGUCCUCAUCAUUU